rnacentral:rRNA from 1 species
CUAUACAUGACUCUGCGCAUAUCAAUAAGCGGAGGAAAAGGCUGCGGAACUGAACGACCGCUACCUACGCUUAGGAUGUUGACGAGACUGUCGAUCUCAUCUAUACAUGACUCUGCGCAUAUCAAUAAGCGGAGGAAAAGAGGGCUAUUACCUACGCUUAGGAUGUUGACGAGACUGUCGAUCUCAUCUAUACAUGACUCUGCGCAUAUCAAUAAGCGGAGGAAAAGAAACUAACAAGGAUUCCCUUAGUAACGGCGAGUGAAGCGGGAAGAGCUCAAAUUUGAAAUCUUCAAGGUUCUACCUUGACGAAUUGUAGUUUAUAGAAGUGUUUUCUGUUAGUAGAGUGGCAAAAGUUCUUUGGAAUAGGACAUCAUAGAGGGUGAGAAUCCCGUAUUUGGUCAUUCUUUCUAGCUUUGUGAUACACUUUCAACGAGUCGGAUUGUUUGGGAAUGCAGUCCAAAAUGGGUGGUAAAUUUCAUCUAAAGCUAAAUAUUGGCGAGAGACCGAUAGCGAACAAGUACCGUGAGGGAAAGAUGAAAAGAACUUUGAAAAGAGAGUUAAACAGUACGUGAAAUUGUCAAAAGGGAAGCGUUUGACACCAGUGUUGUUUUUCCGAAAAUCAAUUACGAAUGUUUUGUUUUUGAGGAGUUAUGACUUCAUCGGCUUGCUCCUUUCUUUACGAAACUUUCUUAAUGCACUUUUCGGUUAACAAGUCAACAUCAAUUUCUUUUGUUGUAAAAGGGUAUGAGGAAGGUGGCUUUCUUUUCGGAGAAAGUGUUUAUAGCCUUGUGCCUCUGCAAUCGGAGAGAUUGAGGUCUGCAGCGUAGAUCCUUCGGGUUAGAUACGUUUGUGCUAAGUUAUAGCUUUUCAUAGACAACUUGUUGACUAUGUUUAGUCUUGUAGCUUACUCGCUGACGCUAUUUUACCUACGCUUAGGAUGUUGACGAGACUGUCGAUCUC